CCUACGGGAGGCAGCAGUGAGGAAUAUUGGUCAAUGGGCGGGAGCCUGAACCAGCCAAGUCGCGUGAGGGAAGACGGUCCUAUGGAUUGUAAACCUCUUUAGGCGGGGAGCAAUGCCGGGCACGUGUGCCCGGAGGGAGAGUACCCGCAGAAUAAGCAUCGGCUAACUCCGUGCCAGCAGCCGCGGUAAUACGGAGGAUGCGAGCGUUAGCCGGAUUUAGUGGGGUUAAAGGGUGCGUAGGCGGAUUUUUAAGUCAGCGGUAAAAUGUCCGGGCUCAACCCGGGCCGGCCGUUGAAACUGGGGAUCUUGAGUGGGCGAGAAGUAUGCGGAAUGCGUGGUGUAGCGGUGAAAUGCAUAGAUAUCACGCAGAACUCCGAUUGCGAAGGCAGCAUACCGGCGCCCGACUGACGCUGAGGCACGAAAGCGUGGGGAUCGAACAGGAUUAGAUACCCUAGUAGUC
rnacentral:rRNA from 1 species